rnacentral:rRNA from 1 species
AUUGAACGCUGGCGGCAGGCCUAACACAUGCAAGUCGAGCGAGCGGCGGACGGGUGAGUAAUGUCUGGGAAACUGCCUUCUGUGGGGGGAUCACUACUGGCAACGGUAGCUAAUACCGCAUACCAUCUGAUGUGCCGAGAUGGGAUUAGCUGGUAGGUGGGGUAACGGCUCACCUAGGCGCCGAUCCCUAGCUGGUCUGAGAGGAUGCCCAGCCAAACUGGAAAGGAGACACGGUCCAGACUCCUAAGGGAGGCAGCAGUGGGGAAUAUGGCACAAUGGGCGCAAGCCUGAUGCAGCCAUGCCGCGUGGGUGAAGAAGGCCUUCGGGUUGUAAAGCACUGUCAGCGGGGAGGCGUUACCCGCAGAAGAAGCACCGGCUAACUCCGUGCCAGCAGCCGCGGUAAUAC